CCUACGGGGGGCAGCAGUAGGGAAUAUUGCUCAAUGGGGGAAACCCUGAAGCAGCAACGCCGCGUGGAGGAUGAAGGUUUUCGGAUUGUAAACUCCUUUUGUUAGAGAAGAUAAUGACGGUAUCUAACGAAUAAGCACCGGCUAACUCCGUGCCAGCAGCCGCGGUAAUACGGAGGGUGCAAGCGUUACUCGGAAUCACUGGGCGUAAAGGGCGCGUAGGCGGGAUAGCAAGUCAGAUGUGAAAUUCUAUGGCUUAACCAUAGAACUGCAUUUGAAACUGUUAUUCUAGAGUAUGGGAGAGGUAGGUGGAAUUCUUGGUGUAGGGGUAAAAUCCGUAGAGAUCAAGAGGAAUACUCAUUGCGAAGGCGACCUGCUAGAACAUAACUGACGCUGAUGCGCGAAAGCGUGGGGAGCAAACAGGAUUAGAUACCCGAGUAGUC
rnacentral:rRNA from 1 species